AGUGAACGCUGGCGGUAGGCCUAACACAUGCAAGUCGAACGGCAGCACAGUAAGAGCUUGCUCUUACGGGUGGCGAGUGGCGGACGGGUGAGGAAUACAUCGGAAUCUACUUUUUCGUGGGGGAUAACGUAGGGAAACUUACGCUAAUACCGCAUACGACCUACGGGUGAAAGCAGGGGAUCUUCGGACCUUGCGCGAUUGAAUGAGCCGAUGUCGGAUUAGCUAGUUGGCGGGGUAAAGGCCCACCAAGGCGACGAUCCGUAGCUGGUCUGAGAGGAUGAUCAGCCACACUGGAACUGAGACACGGUCCAGACUCCUACGGGAGGCAGAAGUGGGGAAUAUUGGACAAGGGGCGCAAGCCUGAUCCAGCCAUACCGCGUGGGUGAAGAAGGCCUUCGGGUUGUAAAGCCCUUUUGUUGGGAAAGAAAAGCAGCAGGUUAAUACCCCGCUGUUCUGACGGUACCCAAAGAAUAAGCACCGGCUAACUUCG
rnacentral:rRNA from 1 species